rnacentral:rRNA from 1 species
GACGAACGCUGGCGGCGUGCUUAACACAUGCAAGUCGAACGGUGAAGCGCCUUCCUUUUUGGUGGGUGUGGAUGAGUGGCGAACGGGUGAGUAACACGUGAGUAACCUGCCCCCUUCUUCUGGAUAACCGCAUGAAAGUGUGGCUAAUACGGGAUAUUCUGGGUCUGUCGCAUGAUGGGUCUGGGAAAGAUAUUGUUUCGGUGGGGGAUGGGCUCGCGGCCUAUCAGCUUGUUGGUGGGGUGAUGGCCUACCAAGGCGGUGACGGGUAGCCGGCCUGAGAGGGUGAAAGGCCACAGUGGGACGGAGAGACGGGCAAGACUCCUACGGGAGGCAGCAGUGGGGAAUAUUGCACAAUGGGCGGAAGCAGGAAGCAGCAACGUCGAGGGGGGGAGGACGGCCUUCGGGUGGUAAACAGCUUGCGCCUGUGAAGAAGCGUGAGGGACGGGAAGGGGUAAAGAAGCACCGGCUAACUACGUG